CCUACGGGAGGCAGCAGUGAGGAAUAUUGGUCAAUGGACGAGAGUCUGAACCAGCCAAGUAGCGUGAAGGAUGACUGCCCUAUGGGUUGUAAACUUCUUUUAUAAAGGAAUAAAACGAGGCACGUGUGCCUUUUUGCAUGUACUUUAUGAAUAAGGAUCGGCUAACUCCGUGCCAGCAGCCGCGGUAAUACGUAGGAUCCGAGCGUUAUCCGGAUUUAUUGGGUUUAAAGGGAGCGUAGAUGGGUUGUUAAGUCAGUUGUGAAAGUUUGCGGCUCAACCGUAAAAUUGCAAUUGAUACUGGCAGUCUUGAGUACAGGUGAGGUAGGCGGAAUUCGUGGUGUAGCGGUGAAAUGCUUAGAUAUCACGAAGAACCCCGAUUGCGAAGGCAGCUUACUAAGCUGUGACUGACAUUGAUGCGCGAAAGUGUGGGUAGCAAACAGGAUUAGAUACCCUGGUAGUC
rnacentral:rRNA from 1 species